UACGGGGGGGAGCAAGCGUUGUUCGGAUUUACUGGGCGUAAAGGGCGCGUAGGCGGCCACCGCAAGUCGACUGUGAAAUCUCCGGGCUUAACCCGGAACGGUCAGCCGAUACUGCGGGGCUAGAGUGCAGAAGGGGCAACUGGAAUUCUCGGUGUAGCGGUGAAAUGCGUAGAUAUCUGGAGGAACACCGGUGGCGAAGGCGGCAUCCCUGGACCGG
rnacentral:rRNA from 1 species